GUGAGGAAUAUUGCGCAAUGGAGGCAACUCUGACGCAGCCAUGCCGCGUGCAGGAAGAAGGCGCUACGCGUUGUAAACUGCUUUUAACCGGGAAGAAACCCCAGGACGUGUCCUGGGUUGACGGUACCGGAGGAAUAAGCACCGGCUAACUUCGUGCCAGCAGCCGCGGUAAUACGAAUGGUGCAAGUGUUAUCCGGAUUCAUUGGGUUUAAAGGGUGCGUAGGCGGAGCGUUAAGUCAGUGGUGAAAUCCUGCAGCUUAACUGUAGACUUGCCAUUGAUACUGGCGCUCUUGAGUGCGCUUGAAGUGGGCGGAAUGUGCCGUGUAGCGGUGAAAUGCUUAGAUAUGGCACAGAACACCAAUUGCGAAGGCAGCUCACUAAGGCGAUACUGACGCUGAGGCACGAAAGCGUGGGGAUCGAACAGGAUUAGAAACCCGGGUAGUCC
rnacentral:rRNA from 1 species